AAACCCUCCCCCUCCCACCGACACCAAUCUCCCUCAACACUCUUUCUCCCUCUCCGACACCGAUCACCCUCCUCGACACCACACCAACCCGCGGGACAAGAUAGGCUUCUAGUUGCUCUAAUUUGGUAUUAGUUGCAAGGAUUUGGUAUUAUUUGAUUUGACCCCACCUCAGAGAGAGAGAGAGAUCGGUUGUGUCUUUCUUGGAUUGGGGGUUUCGAUUGCCCAGUGGUGGAGGUGAGCUCUCUUUGUGUGAUCUGGGGCUAUCGGAUUCGCUUUUUUUAGCACUUGAUCGGGAGCUCGGAGGAGUUAAAUUUGACGAGAGCCGGGACCGAGCGAGCUGGCGAGCGACCGAGGUAAAGGUAUCGC